rnacentral:rRNA from 1 species
UACGUAGGGUGCAAGCGUUGUCCGGAAUUAUUGGGCGUAAAGAGCGUGUAGGCGGCCCGAUUAGUCUGCUGUGAAAGUCCAGGGCUCAACCCUGGAAUGCCGGUGGAUACUGUCGGGCUAGAGUCCGGAAGGGGCGAGUGGAAUUCCUGGUGUAGCGGUGAAAUGCGCAGAUAUCAGGAGGAACACCAAUGGCGAAGGCAGCUCGCUGGGACGUGACCGACGCUGAGACGCGAAAGCGUGGGGAGCAAACAGG